UGAAACAAACCUUAUAAAGGCAAUCUCAAGUACAAAGUUUGAGAGAAAUCUAUUUCUUGAUCCAAAGAGGUCAUGAGGUUCUUACAGAGACUGCCUCUUAACAAUGAAAGCAAAUCGAUGGCUGUUGGUAUUUUGUGGUGGUUAAUUUUUUAUCUUAUUUUCCCAAUAAUUUUGAAAUUUAGUUAUAUUAAAUGCGUGCAACACUAAGAAUUUUAAAAUAGAAUAACUAAAUAUUUUAAAUUUUAAUAUAAAUCCAUAACAACUAACCAUAACAGGAUUGGUGUUCUUUCCAUUUAACUUAAACCAUUGCCAACGACCAUUUUUGUAAAUUCGAUAUUCCAUACAACGUCUCCACACUCUCUUGGGCAAAGCUGAUCGUAUCCAAAACCAGGUAUAAACACGUUUAACAACUGUCCCUCCGUUAAUAGCCUUACACUUAUCUGUGCAGUAAUUCCCAGAGCCACCAACUGGUCCAAAACAUCCACAACACUAUAGUGUAUACAAAAUAAAGUAAAACAAAAACACGCAAAGAAAUACAAUGUUAAUUAAAGUAUCCAACGAAUGUAUUACCCCAAUAGACACGCCGACAUACAAAACACGUUUCGAAAUAUUUUGAUAAUUA